GAUGAACGCUAGCGGCAGGCUUAAUACAUGCAAGUCGAGGGGCAGCACGGUUAGCAAUAACUGGUGGCGACCGGCGCACGGGUGCGUAACACGUAUACAAUCUACCUUAAACAGGGGGAUAGCCUUUCGAAAGAGAGAUUAAUACCCCGUAAUAAAUUGAACGGCAUCGUUUGAUUUUGAAAGCUCCGGCGGUUUGAGAUGAGUAUGCGUCUGAUUAGCUAGUUGGUGAGGUAACGGCUCACCAAGGCGACGAUCAGUAGGGGAUCUGAGAGGACUAACCCCCACACUGGUACUGAGACACGGACCAGACUCCUACGGGAGGCAGCAGUAAGGAAUAUUGGUCAAUGGAGGCAACUCUGAACCAGCCAUGCCGCGUGCAGGAUGACGGCCCUAUGGGUUGUAAACUGCUUUUGAUAGGGAACAAAUGCCACUUGCGAGUGGAGCUGAGUGUACCUAUAGAAUAAGCACCGGCUAACUCCGUGCCAGCAGCCGCGGUAAU
rnacentral:rRNA from 1 species